AUUGAACGCUGGCGGCAUGCUUUACACAUGCAAGUCGAACGGUAACAGGCCUUCGGGUGCUGACGAGUGGCGCACGGGUGAGUAAUGCAUCGGAACGUACCCAGAGGUGGGGGAUAACGCAGCGAAAGCUGUGCUAAUACCGCAUGUGAUCUGAGGAUGAAAGCGGGGGACCGAGCAGCAAUGUUUGGCCUCGCGCCUUUGGAGCGGCCGAUGUCGGAUUAGCUAGUUGGUGGGGUAAAGGCCUACCAAGGCGACGAUCCGUAGCUGGUCUGAGAGGACGACCAGCCACACUGGGACUGAGACACGGCCCAGACUCCUACGGGAGGCAGCAGUGGGGAAUUUUGGACAAUGGGCGCAAGCCUGAUCCAGCAAUGCCGCGUGCGGGAAGAAGGCCUUCGGGUUGUAAACCGCUUUUGGCAGGAACGAAACGGUGUCGGCUAAUACCGGGCGCUAAUGACGGUACCUGCAGAAUAAGCACCGGCUAACUACGUG
rnacentral:rRNA from 1 species